rfam:Ancylostoma ceylanicum strain HY135 Acey_s0451_scaf, whole genome shotgun sequence.
UCCUCGGUAGUAUAGUGGUCAGUAUCCGGGUCUGUCACAUGCGGCACCCGGGUUCGAUUCCCGGCCAGGAAG